ensembl:lncRNA
GGGGGUUGUAAAAGUUGCUAUGGGAUGCUGGGUUUUGAGUGGUCGGAUCACGGUCAGAUGUGUUGGUGACGGCGCUGUUAAAGGUGUGGUUCAUCUGGUCAACCCAUAUUAAAUCAUCAAGGCUCUCAGCACUCAGACAUCCUUGAAAACCACAUCUGUGCUGGAGGCUUAUGGGAACACACACACACCAACACACAAACACUAUAUACCUUAUCCCGGCAUCCCUGCUAGACAAACACACGUUUGAAACACACACACAGACAAUGAAAGACACUCAAAACGGGACUAGAAGGAAAUUGAAUUGUGCAUGCUUUAUUAUUUGAGCGCUGCAGUGCUUUAGCAAGGCCCCGUCCACUGUAAUGGUGUAAUGUAUAUUUCAUUACAGCCUAAUGGGAUCCAUUAGCACAGUCUCCUCACAGACAUUCAAGACUUAUUGUUUUAUGGCUGAGAAGGAAGGAUAGAGAGGAGAGGAGAGAUGAAGGAGAAGACAACAGAGAAGGGGGGGGGGGGGUGAGGAGCAGUGGGAAGGAGAAAUAGGAGAGGUAAUAAUGCACAUUGAGAAACGAAUGGGGUAGAAAGGAGAAGCCGGUCGCAGUGAAAAAGGUCGGAAUGGGUCACGUGGAGAAAGAUGAAGGGAGAUGGAGGGAGAGGAGAUGGACGAGUGAGAAGGGAGGAAGGGGGAGAGGUUUGAAUGCCCUCAGGGAGGAAAGUUAAAGCAAACAUCUAUCAUUGCCGCGGCCCCCAGAUGUUCUGUGAAGCUAAAAUUUCAACCUCACGCUCCGAUCACAUUCAUACCUCCACCACGCGCACGCACACGCACACGCACACGCACACGCUACAGUUCACACAUUCUUACUGGCAAUCCACAAACAAGCUCAAUAAUGCACCGCACAUCCCCAUUAUUGAGAACCACUUCACUCACUUACAGAACAGCUCAGACGUGUGGUCCAACCCCUGCAGGCACUCAAGCGCUCACAGGCGAGCAGGGAAACACUUUUAUUGUUUGAUUUUUAAUUUUACUGGCACCUUUUUUCACUUUUUGCCGACACCGUGAGGAGUCACAAUCCCUGCAUUUAGCUGUAAAUACAUCAAUAUGAAUGAUACGUCUCAUUUGUUGUUUAUUAACAGCAGCACUUGAUGGUAUUGAUGUUUGUGAACUUGAAAAUGUUGAUUUGAUUGAUUUAUAGUAUUCUUUGUAAAUCAAGGAGAAUUUUCUAUAUUUCUUUCUAUAACUAAUUUUGCCUUUCGCAACAGCAAGCUGAUACUGAUCACUGGUCUAACUGAUGAUGUUUUAGCUAAUGUGUAAGACAUGUGUGUAUGGUUUCAUGUCGGGGUCCCUCCUGACAGCGUCCCCUCACGAAAAACCAAACUCUACAGCGGGGAUGGAUAAUAGUCUCACCAGUCGCCACGUCUGUAGACUGAGUUUGACACGUUGCACAGCCGUCCGUACCAGUCAGAGCGGGCCGGUCGAAGGCGCUCUAGUUGCCGACGCGGCCCCUCACAAUCCACCCCCACUGCGGCCGAGUGAAAAGACGCCCCACAGAGACGGAGGGCGGCGUGAGGCGGGGGCCUCACUGGCGGCCACUCGGCUGCACAGUGUUUGUAGCCUGCACACCUGCUUUUUCUAUUUUUUCUUAUUUGUUUUUUUUUUACAAACGGCGUCUAGCUGGGCGGCUGGGUUGUUUUGGACAGUUAGCCGAAAGGAUGGCGCUGGCAGAGGGGGGGGUUGUUUGGAUAACUAAGGAGGGGGCUCUCAUGGCACUGAUGCCUCGGAGAGAGAGGAUACGAGCAAAAAAUGGGAGGAAAAACAACCCGUGCUGUACGAAUGGAAAAGGAGGCACUGACAAUCACAGACUUCUCUUUCUCCCUGCAAGUGACCUACGGUGAAGUAGACUUCUCAGCCAACUUUCCUCCUCGAUGCUGCCUAUGCUGUACGUGAUAGUCCUAAACGUUGGUCGCUAGAAAAGCUACUUUUUCUUUUCUUUUUUGUAUAACAAAAUAACAGCGAGAGGAAUGAACAAAAAUACUUGUACAAAAUGUGAAUACGCUGCUGAAAGAAAUGAGGAUUGCUAACUGCUUUGUCCGAGACUGUGUCAGUAUCUAGAUUGUACUGUUGUCUGCUUUUGUCUUAGAAAUGAGGACAGAGAAAUUUCAUAGCUGCGUGGGAUCGCACAAAUACACAACCACAACAUGCAGGAGUGCAGAGUGUGGAUGCUUUGUCUCCCAGUGGUGUGUGUGUGUGUGUGUGUGUGUGUGUGUGUGUGUGUGUGUGUGUGUGCGUUUGUAGAGAAGAUGCCAGAGUGAGUCAGUAGGGAUCCGUAGGCCGGGUUCAGACUCCAGACAAAUCCUAGUACAAAUGCAAAAAAAGAUUAAACUGAGUCUUUGUUGUUACUGUUCACCAAUUUGUGAUAAGUGACUUUAAACGGUCGUCAAUAGCUUUGGUGUUAUGGCAGCUGAUAUCCAUGGGAUCACUCAAUUCCUUUUGUAUGACUCAAAAAAUCCUCCACACUGCUCUCUGAAGUUCGGGCUUCACGGUAUUUCCGGAAUACCAAUGGAUCCGUUAUCAUAACUAUCGCCUCACUACCACAGAAAUACCGCUCUGACUUUGGGCUAAACCAUGUGACUCAGCGAACAUAUUCCUUAUGUAUACACGUCCCAACUUUGAGCGUGUUGUGAUCCAUAUCACAGUUAAUACCCCCCCGCCCCCCACACCUCACAAUCAGAGCUAUUAGAGCUGAAAUAUCUUAAAGGUCAUCUGUGAGAUUGCCCGUGUGCUCGGAUGCUUCUGGAGCCCCUACGCCCUGAAGAAUGUAAUACCACAAAAAACUGCUCAACUGCUGCAAAAAAAAGAAAAUUUAAACUGUGAUUUGCUUCAUGCAGUAUCUGUUUUUCAGUAUUUGGGUUUUGUCUGCUAUUUGUUUCUGUGUUUAGAGGGUUUUGAAGCUGCCGCCGUGGUAGGAGAAAAGGAAGUAGAGGAUUUUAGUGGAUGUUUGGCUUAUAGUAGGUCAGAGGACGAAACCCUGUAAUUUUUCUGUAUGAAGAGAUGUUGAAAUGUUAUUUCUAUGCCUACAACUGCUUCUCAAAGUGAAAGAAACAUCUGUACUGCAGAGCACACAAGAUAAUUAACAGCUGGUCUGAUUCAGCUAAUGUCUGAUUUUGCAAGAUGGUUGUUGUUCAGUAAAGCGACAUUUUUGACACCACUCAUUUGUGCUCUGCGGGGAACACACACACACACACACACACACACACAAUCAUACACCAGAGGGAACUUGUACAGUCAUACAGUUUUGCCUGGUGGAAAUGAUCACGGUGAAUCAUGAUGGUAAUGAUGACAAUGAUGAUGAUUUUUCCCUGAACGUGGACCAGUCUGUCGUGAUACAAUGUCAUUAAUAAAAAGUGUUAUGUCACACCAAAGCUCCCGCAAAUGAAUAUACUGAAAAGUGAUGUGUUUAAGUGUGUGAGAGACAGAGAGAAUAGAGGGACACGCGCUCAAUGAGAACAGAGGCAGAGGAAGUACUCGGGCGGUGUAAAAGAAACAGAAAAGGGUUUGAGUGACGCCAAAUCGCCGCUAUUCUAUGAAUCCCAUAUUAAUCCCAACAUAAAUCCUG